GACGAACGCUGGCGGCGUGCUUAACACAUGCAAGUCGAACGGAAAGGCCCUGCUUUUGUGGGGUGCUCGAGUGGCGAACGGGUGAGUAACACGUGAGUAACCUGCCCUUGACUUUGGGAUAACUUCAGGAAACUGGGGCUAAUACCGGAUAGGAGCUCCUGCUGCAUGGUGGGGGUUGGAAAGUUUCGGCGGUUGGGGAUGGACUCGCGGCUUAUCAGCUUGUUGGUGGGGUAGUGGCUUACCAAGGCUUUGACGGGUAGCCGGCCUGAGAGGGUGACCGGCCACAUUGGGACUGAGAUACGGAGCAGACUCCUACGGGAGGCAGUAGGCGGGAAUAUUGCACAGUGGGCGGGAGCGUGUUGCAGAAACCUCGCGUGCGGGAAGCUGGCUUUCGGGGUGUGAACCGCUUUCGCCUGUGAUGAAGCGUGAGUGACGGUAAUGGGUCAAGAAGCACCGGCUAACUACGUG
rnacentral:rRNA from 1 species